rnacentral:lncRNA from 1 species
UCUGCCUGUAUAUACUGAAAGAUGACAUUCUGUUCUUUCAAUAUUUUAUAGUGCACAUAGAACAAUGUAUAAGCAAAGAUGGCAUUCUUACAUCCUUCUAAUUACAAUUCAUCGUUUGAUCAGAUGUCUAUUUGGUGUUUAGAGCAAGUGCAGAAUUUUAAGAAAUGCAUUCGAGUCCUUCUGUAGCUAUCAUUUUCUCCAUUGCUUCUCCUUAACAGAAAUUAUCACAAAAAAAAUAACUGAAAAGUUAAACCAAGCCAUAAAUAUGUCUACGAAUUUCAUAUCAGUCCAUAUACUCUGCUUCUCCAACAGAUUUCAUAAUAACAUAAAAGUUGAUCCAUCACUUCAUAAAUUAAUAACACUUAUCAUUCGUCAAAACUGAAAAGAUGCAAAACAAUUUCAUCAUGGUCUUUCUAUAAAUGCCAACAAAGUGGGAUCUACUUUAUCUUUACACAAUAAAUUAACAAUCAAUUCCGUACUAAUGUAAGUAACC